GCAAACAUGCAGGUAUUUAAAGAAAUGUUUUGUUUUUCCUUUUUAGCUGUUGAAAUUUCUUGAAUGCAAACACAACACAACACACCAUGCGCACAUGACAGAGGUCUCCGUCACUGCGGAGGGAAGAUCGCAAUGCUGCUUGCAGGCUGUUGACAGAAAGUGAUCAGUUGUCGUGUUCCGCCAGCUGCUGCGCCGGCGUUGGCAGCGCACAGCCGCUACCAGCUGACACGCCGACCGGUGCGCGGCGCGCGUGCGCCGGGCGCCGACGGCCGUCGUCUGGCAGCAACAGCGCUGCCAGUGACUCGCGCUGCUGCUGCAGAAACUGGACAAGGAUCGUAGAAUCCUGGCGUGUUUUUGUAACGUCCAUUAGAGUGAUUUAGACGCAGCGUGUAGAAAGGACUCGUUUAUUGACGUGUGACUUUCUGACAGCUCAGUCACCUGUUGACGGCGGCGCACAGCGUCACCUACCCGCCCUACAGCCGGCCCAGCAGGCGGACGGAGAGGCCCGCCCGGGCCCAGUGCCGCACGGAGAGGCGGCGGCGCUGGAGCCCAACACCCCGGCUCGCGGCCUGUAGCUGACGGUGCUGGAGCCGCGAGUCACCGUGGUGGCUGGCCAUGGAGACUUGGAAAAGGCCGGUGAGGUGCGUCUCCAGCUGCGCUGUCAGACGAUCCAGUGGAACGAGCAGCAGCCCAUGUACCCGUCCCGGCUGUGCCGGUGUGUCUCCCAGCUUGAGCGGCGCCGGCCGACCGCUGCGCUGCUCUACAACUGCCACGUCCACACACGAUGCACGGUGACGGCUGACCAGGCGGUGCUGGUCUCGGCCGCGACCGACGGCCAGCCCGCCCAGGAGCACCAGGCUUUAGAGGCUGAUUAGUGGGCAGAUACAUUCAAUUAGCUAUUAAUAAUUGAUUAUGCAAACAUUC
rnacentral:lncRNA from 1 species